rnacentral:tRNA from 1 species
CAAAGAGUGCCUGAUGAAAGGAUUACUUUGAUAGAGUAUAAUAUGUAAAGUUUAACCUUUACCUCUUUGA